rnacentral:rRNA from 1 species
UACGAAGGGUGCUAGCGUUGUUCGGAAUCACUGGGCGUAAAGCGCACGUAGGCGGAUUUGUCAGUCAGUUGUGAAAUCCCGGGGCUCAACCUCGGAACUGCCUUUGAUACAGCAAGUCUUGAGUUCGAGAGAGGUGGGUGGAAUUCCUAGUGUAGAGGUGAAAUUCGUAGAUAUUAGGAAGAACACCGGUGGCGAAGGCGGCAGCCUGGACCGGUAUUGACGCUGAGGCGCGAAAGCCAGGGGAGCAAACGGG